GGGCCCGCACAAGCGGUGGAGCAUGUGGUUUAAUUCGAUGAUACGCGAGGAACCUUACCAGGGCUUAAAUGCAUAAUGACAGAUUGGGAAACCAAUCCUUCUUCGGACAAUAUGCAAGGUGCUGCAUGGUUGUCGUCAGCUCGUGCCGUGAGGUGUUGGGUUAAGUCCCGUAACGAGCGCAACCCCUAUCCUUAGUUGCCAGCGGUUCGGCCGGGGACUCUAAGGAAACUGCCAGCGCAAGCUGUGAGGAAGGUGGGGAUGACGUCAAAUCAUCACGGCCCUUACGUCCUGGGCUACACACGUGCUACAAUGGUAGGUACAAAGGGCAGCCACUUGGUGACAAGGAGCUAAUCUCUAAAACCUAUCUCAGUUCGGAUUGGAGUCUGAAACUCGACUCUAUGAAGCUGGAAUCGCUAGUAAUCGCGCAUC
rnacentral:rRNA from 1 species